rnacentral:rRNA from 1 species
AGUGACAGUUUUUCAAAAACUUUUUCUUUUGUUCACUAAAAUUAUCUUCCUAAAAGCAUUUGACUGACCAGUGUCGGUUAAGGUAACUUAUUUGCUGCUCAAGUUAUGUCCUAUAUCCAGACAAACGUCAGCCGAAUCAAUGACGGUUCUAAGGUAGCUUAAUUCCUUGUCGGUUAGUUUCCGACCUGCAUCAAAGUUUGAACAAUUUACCUUAUGUCACACUUUAUUAUUGUGGAAUUUGUCUCUGUUGUCAGGAUCCAGCAGUGUAGUCAAAAGACAAAAAGACCCUAUGAACCCUUUUAGUAUC